rnacentral:lncRNA from 14 species
GUACAGCCCCGCUACGGGUUCUGUGAAGCUGCGAGUCACCCCGCCAUCCUGCUCCAGUGGGAACACAGCUGGUGUACUCCUCCAAACCCUCCUGCUUUGUGUUCCCAGUGCCAGCACUCAGCCAAGACCAGAGCUGCACCUUCUCGUCUUGCAACCCAAGAGAAGACCGUGCUCCAGAAGCUCCAGAGGGCUUUUGCCCACAGCUGCCUGCUGUGCCCGGGGGAGGCGCAGCUCACCCAGCACCACCUCAGCACUCUGUUCUGUACAGGGGGGCCCUGUCUGUGUAACGGUUACUAGGCCCCAGGGCUGAGCUGUUCCUGUUGUCAGAGAUACAGCGAAGGCGCUGACAGCUCCUGUGCUCAGUCUGGGUGCCUGGGGCCUUCACGUGGGUCCCGGAUCCCUCUCAUGCAAGUGCAGAUCCUCUCUUCCCUCCCAGACAGCCUGGGUGCCAGGUCUCCAAGGUCACACAGCAGCCUUUCCGUCUUCUGCUGGUGUUGAAAGGGUGAUGGGGUCCUACCUCUUUUCUCCCCAGCUCAAGGCAACAGCAGUGCCAGGCUGUUGGGGUGACCCUGCCUGGUCCAGGCUCCUCACUACACAUGCUCUGUAGUUCUGUGCCAAGGUUCCUAAGUGGGUAACACUUGCAACAGCACUUUUGAAUCCAGCUGCCUGGAGCAGCAGACAGGGUCCUCAGACCUCCCAUGUGAUUUGAUGCACUCUGAGCUGAAUCACCGUUUAACUCCUCUGCCUUGUGGGACAUAUGGGGCAGCACGGGAAAUGCUGUGUUAGUCUGGUGUUAAGGCCCAAGAGCAAAUGGAUGGAGCCUGAGUGCAGGCAUGUGUGCAUGUGCAGGGAAAUAUUUUUUUUUUGCCAUUAAAGCUUCUAUUCUCCCCACUUUCCUGUGCUGAACAUGGUCUGGACCUGGAGGAAAUAUUACUCACACUUUACCUGCCUGUUGAAGCAUUACAAGAGGUAAAUUCAAUUCUCUGAUUAGCAUCUCUCUAGUAGGAGCCCUGAGAUGUUUUCAGCAACAGGUGAGUCAGGGAACAAGAGGUCUGAAAACUACCCCUACCUCUGAGAGAGAAGCCUUUUUUCCCUCUGCUCUUUGCAAGGUGUGUGAGAUGGUGGUGUAUCACCUGUGUUCUAGGUCUCUUCUGGUGCCUGUCAACCAGAAACACUCUGCAUGCACUAAGUAAAGC